GACGAACGCUGGCGGCGUGCUUAAAACAUGCAAGUCGAACGGACUUCUCAUGAAGCUUGCGAUUGAGAAGUUAGUGGCGGACGGGUGAGUAACGCGUGGGCAACCUGCCCCUGAGCCCGGGAUAACAGUUCGAAAGGACUGCUAAGACCGGAUAUACUUGCGGGGAAGCAUUUCACUGCAAGGAAAGGGAACGCUCAGGGAUGGGCCCGCGUCCCAUUAGCUAGUUGGUGAAGUAACGGCCCACCAAGGCGACGAUGGGUAGCCGGCCUGAGAGGGUGAACGGCCACACUGGGACUGAGACACGGCCCAGACUCCUACGGGAGGCAGCAGUUGGGAAUCUUCGGCAAUGGGCGCAAGCCUGACCGAGCAACGCCGCGUGAGUGAUGAAGGUUUUCGGAUUGUAAAGCUCUGUCUUCCGGGACGAUAAUGACGGUACCGGAGGAGGAAGCCGCGGCUAACUACGUG
rnacentral:rRNA from 1 species